GAUGAACGCUAGCGGCAGGCCUAAUACAUGCAAGUCGAACGGAUAUAUGUUUUUCGGAAUAUAUAUUAGUGGCGCACGGGUGAGUAACACGUACAUAACUUGCCCUCAAGCGGGGGAUAGCCUUGGGAAACUGAGAGUAAUACCCCAUAGAAUUAUUGGACGGCAUCGUUUGAUAAUUAAAACUACGGUGUUUGGGGAUAGAUGUGCGUCUGAUUAGCUAGUUGGUGAGGUAACUGCUCACCAAGGCGACGAUCAGUAGGGGGCGUGAGAGCGUGGCCCCCCACACGGGUACUGAGACACGGACCCGACUCCUACGGGAGGCAGCAGUAAGGAAUAUUGGUCAAUGGAGGGAACUCUGAACCAGCCAUGCCGCGUGAAGGAUGACGGCCCUCUGGGUUGUAAACUUCUUUUGGAUGGGGCGAAAAAACGGGAUUUAUCCUGGACUGACGGUACCAUCAGAAUAAGCACCGGCUAACUCCGUGCCAGCAGCCGC
rnacentral:rRNA from 1 species